GAUUUUGUACACACCGCCCGUCACACCAUGGGAGUGGGUUUUGCCAGAAGUAGUUAGCCUAACCGCAAGGAGGGCGAUUACCACGGCAGGGUUCAUGACUGGGGUGAAGUCGUAACAAGGUAGCCGUAUCGGAAGGUGCGGCUGGAUCACCUCCUU
rnacentral:rRNA from 2 species